GUGUAUGUGUGUGUGCAUGUGUAUGUGUGUGUGCAUGUGUAUGUGUGUGCAUGUGUGUAUGUGUGUGCAUGUGUGUGUGUAUGUGUGUGCAUGUGCAUGUGUGUAUGUGUGUAUACAUGUGUAU
rnacentral:miRNA from 1 species